UUCCGGUUGAUCCUGCCGGACCCCACUGCUAUCGAGAUGGGACUAAGGUAUGCUAGUCGAACGACCAGAACUAUGUCUGGAAGUGGCACACUGCUCAGUAACACGUAGCUAACCUACCCUUAGGACGUGGAUACCCCCGAGAAAUUGGGGUUAAUCCGCGAUAGAUGUAAUGUCCUGGAAUGGUAUUACGUCUAAAGGUAUUUCAUACAUGUUUGAAAUAUGCCUAAGGACGGGGCUGCGGCCGAUCAGGCUGUUGGUGAGGUAAUGGCUCACCAAACCUUUGACCGGUACGGGCCAUGAGAGUGGUAGCCCGGAGAUGGACACUGAGACAAGGGUCCAGGCCCUAAGGGGCGCAGCAACCGCGAAACCUCCACAAUGCACUCACGUGCGAUGGGGCUAUCUCGAGUGCCACCUGAUGAAGGUGGCUUUUCCUAGGUCUUCAAAGCCUUGGGAAUAAGAGGGGGGCAAGACUGGUGUCAGCCGCCGCGGUAACACCAGCCCCUCGAGUGGUGGGGAUGAUUAUUUGGCCUAAAGCGUCCGUAGCCGGCCGAGCAAGUCUUCCGUUAAAUCCAGCGUCUCAAGCGUUGGACCGCGGGAGAUACUACACGGCUAGAGAGUGGGAGAGGUUAGCGGUAUUCUGGG
rnacentral:rRNA from 1 species